GUGCUCACUUUGGCAGCACAUAUCUACUAAAAUUGGAAUGAUACAGAGAAGAUUAGCAUGGACCCUGUGUAAGGAUGACAUAAAUUCAUGAAACAUUCCAUAUUUUU
rnacentral:snRNA from 1 species